rnacentral:rRNA from 1 species
GGCCAGACUCCUACGGGAGGCAGCAGUCGAGAAUAUUGCGCAAUGGAGGAAACUCUGACGCAGUGACGCCGCGUAUAGGAAGAAGGUUUUCGGAUUGUAAACUAUUGUCCACAGGGAAGAAAAAAGACUGUACCUGUUUAGAAAGCUCCGGCUAACUACGUGCCAGCAGCCGCGGUAAUACGUAGGGAGCAAGCGUUGUCCGGAAUUACUGGGCGUAAAGGGCGCGUAGGUGGGCGCUUAAGUCAGGUGUGAAAACUCCGGGCUCAACCUGGAGACUGCACUUGAAACUGGGUGUCUUGAGGGCAGGAGAGGAAAGUGGAAUUCCUAGUGUAGCGGUGAAAUGCGUAGAUAUUAGGAGGAACACCAGUGGCGAAGGCGACUUUCUGGACUGUACCUGACGCUGAGGCGCGAAAGCGUGGGUAGCGAACGGGAUUAGAUACCCGAGUA